AGACCAAAUCAGAGAAGAGAAGGGACCCACCCCUGGUUCCAUAGCAAGCUUGCAGGGAGGGUCAACAGGAUCUCCUACAUCCCAAUGGAGGCGCUCCUGGACUCCCAAAGAGGACAGACACUUGAUGUCUCUUGUUUCCCCACAAAAGCCACAGAUCUGAUGCCUGCCAUGCCCGGUUCACCCCGCCGUGACAAGUCUCAGGGAACAGACAUGUUAGGACACUGUGAGGUCUGAUGGCCCUGCACAUGUGACAGGUAGACCCAGCCAGCCAGAGAGAUCACACCCCAAGGCCCAGAGGCAGGGGGCCAAGGGUGGGCAACUUGACAGUCAA